rnacentral:lncRNA from 1 species
GCCUUGAACUCACGAGAUCUGCCUUCGUCUGCCUCCCAAGUGCUGGGAUUAAAGCCAUGCACCACCACACCCAGCUAUGAAAAACUUUAUAUGGUGUCUGUGGGUGGAGGGCCUGGGGCUCCAGACUUGGAAUUGUUUGAUAGCCUAGCCAAGGUAACUGCAGGGCACUGUAACAGACACGAGUGAGAACUGAGUCCCAAAGCCUAGCCCUUUUCAUUAAGGACGUAGGGGGAUUGGACUCCACUGUAGCUUUAUUUUAUUUUGCCAGUCUUUCCUAUAUCAUCAGGUAGGCUGUCCUAGACCCCAGCCCCCCAAGGUGGGGCCAUGUAGCUUUUCUGUAUUUUUUUUUUCUUUGCUACUUUGUGUGGGUUCUUCAGUUUCCUAACAGUAUCUUCUCUGGCUUGGCUGAGCUUCUUAUCCUGGCUCACCCUCUCCCAUUGUUGCUCUACUCCAUCCUCUGCUCUCCCCUCCCCUCUGUGCUCCUCCCUUCCCCUCCCCUCUCCUCUUCCUUUUCCUUAGCCUUACUCAAAUCUUCUUUCUUCCUCAGCUGUCUUCCCUAACCUUACUCUCUGACCCUAGAUCUUCAUCCUGUCUCCUGGACCCUCCUCCUCCUCUGUCUCUGGACCUUACCUCAGUUCCCAGAAGUCCCUGAAGGUCAUAAGGUCUAGCAGCUCUAACAGCUAAGCAUUCCCAAAGAGUCAGUUGACUAGCCACUGGGGAACCUUUAAAGGGCCAGGCACAGAAAAUAAAUCAUGCUACACCCUUGCCAGGCAUCUAAUAUUAUGAACAUGUUUGAAAACCUGCACACAGGACAAGGAGAUGGCUUGGUUGGUAAGGUGCAUGUUACAAGGACCUGAGUUCAAUCCCCACCACCCACAUCAAACGUUGUGAGUGGGUGGUGCAGGCUUGUGAUCCCAGUGCUGGGGAGAUGGAGACAGGAACGUCCUUGGGGCUUGGUGAUAAGCUAGCCUAGCCUAACUAGUAAGUUCUAAGUCAGUAAGAGACACCUAAAGUAAAUCUUUUCCACAUGUGCAACAUACACAUAAACAUGUACUUAUACCACAUAGAUGCAUAAAGUUAAAAUUUGCACACAAGAGUAGUUAAAAUAGGGACAUCUUAUUGAACACUGCCUAAUAGCAGCAGUGCUAGCUUGUGGGAAAAUGCAAGAUGAAACUAAUGUGAUGUCUACAGUGCCAAGCAAGGUGUGGCAAGGAGGAACGACUAGCGACAGGUCCUUCAGGUGUUUAAGUUGCUAUAAACAAGAUGGUGUGCCAGUUAAGGCUACAUCUCCACAGAUGUGAGAUGGAAGGUAACAGCUGUCUUAGAUGACAGUCUGUAAAACAGCAGCUCUCUUUACUCAGGAGUAACAAGGGCUUUGUAAACCUUGGGGAGUAGGCAGGGGGGUUUCAGGGAGAGAGUACAUUAUUGGCUGGGGCUGAGGUGCUAGGAAUACUUCGCUUGUUAUGAAGGGGGACUCCAGGUGUUUCAACUUGUAAUUUGGCUAAGAGGCUACUGCCUGCCUUAAGCAGGUGGGAGGUCACGAUGCUACGUGACCUGGGGCGUGCAGGCGGAGACUAUGGAGGAAUGACCCUGCUGGCCUCAAAAGGGGACUUUUGGGAUUUAGAUGCUUCUCUGCCUCACUCUUGUUCCAGGACUGUCCUCCCUGGUCACACUUGCUGCACAAAGGAUGUCUGUUGAGAUAACUAGGCAAGUAGUCACGUGGUGUAUGUUUUCCAAAGGAUGAUGAAGAUGGGAGGAAGAGGAAAAUCAUUUUACC